GGUUACGCUCGAUCAUGGCGAAAUCGCCGCCCUGAAAUGGCCGCCGAUGUCGAUGGGGUUCGAGGCAUCGGCGGAUUUGC
rnacentral:tRNA from 1 species